UUUUCUUUUCAUUCUCAUUAUCUUUUCCAUUCAUUCCAUACACAAUCCUAAUCCCAAAUACAAGUCUCACCUUGUCCUACCUAACCCAAAAAGCGUGGGCUAGGUCUACAUGAAAGACUGCUCUUGUCGGCUCAUACCUAACACGUUAUACCAAACUCAAUCUAAAAAAGAACUCACAAUCACACAUGAUAUGUCUAUAAUUUGCAUGAUUUAGGCAUUCAUUCUUCACCACUUUGUCAUUGUUUCAUCCACAUUUCAUCUCAUUAGGAGUCGUUUUAGUGUGUUUUGCAUACUUAGGACGGUUUUUCAUUAGGAUUGCAUGUGCAUUGCAUAUUUGGUUGUUUUCAAGUACUUUGGAUGCUUUUUGAGUUCAAACAAAGGAGAAACAGAAUAGAAAGUCAGAAUGCCCAAUGACGCCUUCAGCCAAAACACUCUAUCGCAGCCUCAGACCCGUGUAAAAGCAAAUCACUCUAUCGCAACCCCGGAGAAGAGAGCAGCUCUGUUUUACUCAAUCGCGAAGCCGGAGGAAUCACCCAAUCAAAACCACUCGAUCACCACUCGAUCACCAGGAAGCCUAUCUGCUCAUUUUGCACUCAACCAGACAAGCUGAGAAUACGGAAUAGAAGAAAAGCUGAAGAAACCACUCGAUCACCACCUCAUGACAUCCACUCGAUUGCACCACUCGAUCACAGGGUUGCUGGACCAUCCUAUCUCGUCUUCACUUCAGACCACUCGAUCGCAAGGAGGAGUCCCCGACGCCCAGUUUGGUCAAUGACAUACUCGAUCACAGGGAAGCCCAUUUCAGCCCAUCAGAUUCCAAUGACAUACUCGAUCACAUGGUCAUGACGGGAAGAUUCACUAUCUAUCUAGUUUCCUUAUUUGCUUCAUUUUUGCUUAUAUAAGUAGCCUCUAAGGGUUUUCCCUAGGGCAUUAUUCAUCCAACUUUUAUAUUUCACAACUUUCAUAGCCGCAGUGUUUUCUCCUGCGACUUUGUAUUCACUUUCUAGUAUUUGAUAUUCAGUUUUCGUUUAAGUCUUUUAUCCUUCAUGUUAUCAAGCUUUCAAUCGUUGCUUUGCUAUUGUCUUUCAUUAUGUCUGAGUAGUGAACUGUAUUUCUGAGGAUGGGAUAGAGUAGUUGUGGUUUACUUAGUCGUUUUAGGUUGUUGAGUUUAGAAUAAUAGAAUCCCUUCUCGGUUAGUUGCGCUUAUUGCUUGUUUCACUGGCUAAUGUGGAAUAUGAAUCCAGACAUUCCCGCUCUAAAAAGGUGUUCAAUGGAAUGUCGGAUCUAUUAAUUCAAGAGAUAUUCGGCUCUAUCCCAAGGUAUUGGUCGUGUAGAGAGGGUAUUGGCUUUAACAUGUUGAUUCGAUAAUGCCUGCUUAGUUAGAGAUCGCUAAUGGUGAUUAGGUCAGUGUCUAGCUCUGCUUGAGGAUUGCUGUCACGGUAGUGAAGUAAUCUGUUGUUGAACUUGUUGUCUAGGGAUAGCUUUUGUGAAGUUUUGUCAACCGCCUGAAUAGAUUAAGUAGACCACAAUAUUCGACUACCCCAUCCUUCGGAAUCGUUUAUCCAUUUGAUUGUCUGUUAUCAUUUCUGCUUUGUUAUUCACCUGCCUGCUAUUGCCAUUUCUGCUUUUAGUUUCAUUUCAUUUCUGUUAUUGCAUACUAGGACUGUUAGAACCAACCAACUUUCUGCUUGGCUUGACUUAGAGCUUUCUGAUCAUAUCUCAUCUGUUUGCAUCACACCGGAUUGGAUUGACAACCUAAAAUACUACAACGAUAGGAUAGUGUUUUAGGAUUAAUUUAAUGCCGUUGCCAGUCUUGUGUUUGUUUGCUAUAUUUGAGAUCAUUAGAAACGUUAAGAUCAAGGUCGUUUUUGUUACACAAGUUACUUUCAUUGUGUCUUUUCUAUUUUUGUAUUUCAGGUACCCAGCAACAGUUUUACUGACUCAUCUCUGAUAGGUCUACUAAAGCCAAGCUGCUACCCGUUGAAUGCAUACACGAUCCCAAGGGAAUCAGAACUUCUUUUUCAACGAUAACAUCGACCGAAUUGCUCGCCAACUGAGAGAACAGACAACAACAGACACAAUGGUUGACGUUGUAGAUGAGCAAGAGCAACCUAACAACAUUGGUUAUGGUGACUUCCCUCACAACCACAACCAGCGUCAUGGCAUUGUUCCACCUCCAGUACAGAACAACAACUUUGAGAUCAAAAGCGGUCUCAUUGCAAUGGUGCAGGAGAACAAGUUUCAUGGCUUGCCAAUGGAGGAUCCGCUCGAUCAUCUAGACGAGUUUGAAAGGCUCUGUAGCCUUACAAAACUCAAUGGAGUUUGUGAAGAUGGUUUCAAGCUUCGCUUAUUUCCAUUCUUGGAGACAAAGCCCAUCUGUGGGAAAAGACGUUACCCCAGGGAUCAAUCACGACCUGGAAUGACUGCAAAAAGGCGUUCUUGGCAAAAUUCUUCUUCAAGUCUAGAACUGCAAGACUACGGAAUGAUAUAUCCGGAUUCACUCAGAAGCAAAAUGAAAGCUUAUGUGAAGCUUGGGAGCGCUUCAAGGGUUAUAAACCUAAUGCCCUCAUCAUGGAUUUAAGCAAGCUUCUCUUCUCAUCACACUCUACAGAGGCAUGUUGCCUAAGAUAAGGAUGCUGCUUGACACCGCUUCAAAUGGAAAUUUUUUGAAGAAGGAUGUUGAAGAAGGAUGGGAGCUUGUUGAAAACUUUGCUCAGUCGGAUGGCAAUUACAAUGAUGACUAUGACAGAACUAUCCGCACCAGUUCAGACUCUGAUGACAAGCACCACAGAGGGAUAAAAGCUCUCAAUGACAAACUAGACAAAAUCGUCGAAAUGCAGCAGAAACAUGUUCACUUCAUCUUUGAAGAUGAACCAUUCCAAGUAUAAGAGGGGGAGAAUGAUCAGUGUGCUGAAUCAACUAUGUUCAUAAUCAAGGUGGCUACAACAAGGGGUACAAUAAUUACUGACCCAACCCAAAUAUGUCAUACAGAAGCACCAAUGUCGCCAACCCUCAGGACCAAGUCUACCCUCAGCAGCAGCAGCAGAACCAACCCAAACCGUUUGUUCCUUACAACCAAAGCCAAGGGUUUGUUCCAAAGCAGCAGUUUCAAGGAGGAUAUCAACAACAACAACCACCACCUAAUUUCACACCACAACAACAACAAGCACCUGCGCCUCCGAAUUUAGACAUAAUGACUAUGCUCCAGCAGCUCAUUCAAGGACAAGCCACAUGAGCAAUGGAAAUCCCUAAGAAGCUGGCUGAAUUAAACAACAAAGUCGAUCGACAAGGCGUCGAACUUAACAACAAGUUUGAAUUCCUAGGUACUAGGAUGCGAUAUGUGGAAGGCAUCCUCGCUUCACCAUCUGUUAACAACAACCCAGGCCAGCUUCCAGGGAAAGCAAUCCAGAAUCCAAUGGAGUAUGUCACUGCCCAUGCCAUCACUAUUAGACAUGAUCGAGAGCUGCCAACUCGACAUGUCCCUACUUCAAACACUGAGGACAGUGUGAUUCUAGAGGGGGAGGAUUUUUAUCAAGAUGAUGUUUUGGCUAACAAAACAAUUGAAGAGCCCAUCCUUGACAGUCAACGCACUCGAUCACAAGCUCCGCCAGCUACUACCUUCGUUGCAAAACAGACAGCUUCAAAGACCAAAGAUACAAUCUUUGUGCCACUGCCUUACAAACCUCCGCUUCCAUUCCCUAGUCGAUUUAAGAAAGUUCUGGUUGCGAAAUAUCGAGCCCUCCUGGAAAAACAGAUAAAUGAUAUGCCUUUAGUGGACUGCCUCGCGCUAAUACCUGACGAGCACAAGCACGUGAAAUACUUUAUUAUAGAAAGGAUCAAAGAAGUCCAAGGAAUGAUGGUAUUAAGUAUGAGUGCAGUGCAAUCACUCAGAAGAAGAUUGUUCAAUAAAAGUUAGAAGAUCCAGGACCUUUUACUCUACCAUGCUCCAUUAGGCAAUUGCCUUUCAACAAAUGUCUAUGUGAUCUAGGAGAUGCAGUCAGCAUAAUGCCACUCUCUGUGGCAAGGAAGCUGGGAUUCCUUUAGUACAAGCCUUGUGACCUAACCUUGAUUCUUGCUGAUAGGACUUCAAGGAGAUCUUUUGGCCUGUUACAGGAUGUGCCAGUAAUGAUUAAUGGAGUAGAGGUCCCUACUGAUUUUGUUGUGCUUGAGAUCGAUGAAGAAUCUAAAGAUUCUCUGAUCUUAGGAAGACCUUUCUUGGCUUCAGCUGGAGCAGUCAUAAAUUUUUAAGCAAGGAAAAAUUAAUCUUAAUCUGGGGGAGGAUUUCAUAAUGAAGUUUGAAAUCAGGGACACUAUGAAGAAGCCAACAAUAGAAGGACAAACCUUCUUAGUUGAAGAAAUGGGUCAGCUAGCUAAUGAACUGCUAGAGGAGCUAACUGACAAAGAUCACCUUCAAACUGCUUUGACCAAAAGUAGUAAAGCUAGAUUUCUCUCAAGUGAGACCUUGAGCUAUGAGAUGUCAUUAAACUCACACAACAAAGUACCAGGAUUAGAGAUCUUUAAAGGUGUCAUUGCGUUAGAAAGAGAGGAUGUUGCAUUCAACGAGGAAGGCUCAAUUGAUACUCGACUAGAGUGCUCAACCAAACAGCUAAAGUCAAGCAUGAGGGCAUCAAAUGAUUGGUUAGAACUCAAAGAGAGGUCUAAAUGGCACAACAGAGCUAUAAGAGACCUAACACACAGUGUAAAAGAGUUGAAGGAUCAAGUCAAGGAACUCCAUGGGAAAGCCAACCAAGCACCACUCGACAUCAAGGAUGUCCCAAAUGAUGAAGUUAUUCCUAUGGUUAGAAAAGAAGGAUGUGAAUUCACAUUAGAACAGUCUACAAAAGACGACUAUCCAUAUGAUGAAAAAGGAGCUUACCAAGAAAGGGCCAUUGAGUACUCAAUUACAGACUUGUAACGAGAGCAUGCUGAAUUUGAUGUUAUAUCUACUAAGGAAGGAGAGGAGACGUCAAUUCUACUCUAUCACCCUCCUUGAGCCUAAUGAGUGUGAGGAGUCAAGUUAGAGACUUAAAACAAGCUCACUUGGGAGGAAGUCCCAUGCCUAUCCUUGUAUAUAGUUUUUUUUUUUUUUUGUUACUUUUGGUUUGUUUUGGUUUUGGUUUUGAUUCUCAGGAAAUGAAGAACAGCUGGAGUAACAGCAAGGAUGCAACCGAGUGUUCAAAUAAAAAAUUUC
rnacentral:sRNA from 1 species